GAUGAACGCUGGCGGCGUGCCUAAGACAUGCAAGUCGAGUGGGUUUAGACCCACGGCGAACGGGUGAGUAAUACCUAGGAAUGUAUCUUUAGUUGAGCAUAUCCCACCGAAAGGUGGAGCAAUCCUCAAUGUGAUCGCAAGAUUAAAGUCGCAAGACGCUAAAGAAGCAGCCUGGGCACCAUCAGCUAGUUGGUAAGGUAAAAGCUUACCAAGGCUAUGACGGUUAGGGGCCCCGAGAGGGGAGACCCCCACACUGGAACUGCGACACGGUCCAG
rnacentral:rRNA from 1 species